GACGAACGCUGGCGGCGUGCUUAACACAUGCAAGUCGAACGGAAAGGCCCUGCUUUUGUGGGGUGCUCGAGUGGCGAACGGGUGAGUAACACGUGAGUACCCUUCCCUUGACUUUUGGCUAACUUCAUGAAACUGGGGCUAAUACCGGAUAGGCGCUCCUGCUGCAUGGUGGGGGUUGGAAAGUUUCGGCGGUUGGGGAUGGACUCGCGGCUUAUCAGCUUGUUGGUGGGGUAGUGGCUUACCAAGGCUUUGACGGGUAGCCGGCCUGAGAGGGUGACCGGCCACAGUGGGACUGAGAUACGGCCCAGACUCCUACGGGAGGCAGCAGUGGGGAAUAUUGCACAAUGGGCGGAAGCCUGAUGCAGCAACGCCGCGUGCGGGAUGACGGCCUUCGGGUUGUAAACCGCUUUCGCCUGUGACGAAGCGUGAGUGACGGUAAUGGGUAAAGAAGCACCGGCUAACUACGUG
rnacentral:rRNA from 1 species